GCGGUGACCUAGUGGUUAAAGCGUCCGUCUCGGAUGCGGGAGGUCAGGGGUUCGAAUCCCGGUCGACUCA